rnacentral:RNase_P_RNA from 1 species
GAGGAAAGUCCGGGCUCCAAAGGGCAAGGUGCCAGGUAACACCUGGGGGGCGCGAGCCUACGGAAAGUGCAGCAGAAAGUAUACCGCCCGGCGAUCCACCUUCGCGGUGGGUCACCAGGUAAGGGUGAAAUGGUGCGGUAAGAGCGCACCGCGUGACCGGCAACAGGCACGGCGAUGGUAAACCCCACCCGGAGCAAGACCAAAUAGGAAUCCGUCAGCUGCGGCCCGCAGCGGAUUCGGGUAGGUCGCUACAGGCAGGUGGUGACACCUGUCGCAGAUGAAUGAUCGUCCACGACAGAACCCGGCUUAU